rnacentral:rRNA from 1 species
CGCUGGCGGCAGGCUAACACAUGCAAGUCGAACGGAUCCUUCGGGAUUAGUGGCGGACGGGUGAGUAACACGUGGGAACGUGCCCUUUGGUUCGGAACAACUCAGGGAAACUUGAGCUAAUACCGGAUGUGCCCUUCGGGGGAAAGAUUUAUCGCCAUUGGAGCGGCCCGCGUCUGAUUAGCUAGUUGGUGAGGUAAAGGCUCACCAAGGCGACGAUCAGUAGCUGGUCUGAGAGGGUGAUCAGCCACAUUGGGACUGAGACACGGCCCAAACUCCUACGGGAGGCAGCAGUGGGGAAUCUUGCGCAAUGGGCGAAAGCCUGACGCAGCCAUGCCGCGUGAAUGAUGAAGGUCUUAGGAUUGUAAAAUUCUUUCACCGGGGACGAUAAUGACGGUACCCGGAGAAGAAGCCCCGGCUAACUUCGUGCCAGCAGCCGCGGUAAUACGAAGGGGGCUAGCGUUGCUCGGAAUUACUGGGCGUAAAGGGAGCGUAGGCGGACUGUUAAGUUAGAGGUGAAAGCCCAGGGCUCAACCUUGGAAUUGCCUUUGAUACUGGCAGUCUUGAGUACGGAAGAGGUAUGUGGAACUCCGAGUGUAGAGGUGAAAUUCGUAGAUAUUCGGAAGAACACCAGUGGCGAAGGCGACAUACUGGUCCGUUACUGACGCUGUGGCUCGAAA